CACAAAAAAAAAAAAUCAGUUCCCGCUUCUCUCCUCCUUCCCCUUCUCUGGUUUUCUUUUCCCUAAAAAUGAACAUUUUUUUUUCCAUUUUCCCUCUUCUCCCCCUUGCUCUGGUUCCCUGGUUUCUAACACAUCCUCUGCCAGAUACAAUCCUCCAAAAUCCACACUUUUCAUCUUAGUUUCUAAGGAAGACUGUCAUGUAAUGCAACCCUAGAUUUCUCUGGUUCUAUGGUGUCCUGGAUUCGUCAAAUUUGCCGACGUAAUCCGGAAGUAAUUGAGUUUUCGCAGUGAUGUCGAUGCUCUGAGGGACAAAUUACCAGAUUGUAUGUUAGGCAACCUUAAGAGGCUAGAGAAAGAUGACUUGAAGCUGAUUGACUACGAUUGUGAAAUCGAGUGGAUAGAACACACUUGAUUGUGAAAUCGAGUGGAUAAAACAUGCUUAAAUUUGGCAAUAUCCCGUAUCAAAUUGCUGCAAAAUAGGAGAGAUUCUCAGCCCAAUCAGAUGCGAUAGGAGAUAGCUCAGUUUUUGCGGAUUUUAACUCAUGUAUAGGGAGUAUAAGGCUUCAGAGUAAAGAUAUAUUGAUGAUUUUCUAUCUUUCCCAGGAAAAUGUUGCCAGCUCAUCAGGAACUAAUUUGAGAUCUUCCUACAUUGAAAUGAGAUCUUCCUAAAACUGUUUCACCUGUUACUAAUCAACCUAGAAUGUAAGAUGCAGGCACUCUGGUGAUUCAGAUGAUGAUAAAGGCAAUGUCUUGGUAUGUGAUAUUGUGACUGUGGCCCGGAUCAAUAAUGCGACUCUUGUGAUCCCUGAACUUGACAAGAGGUUAUUUUGGCAAGACUCAAGGUAUUCAAUAAUCCGAGGGAGCGACCUUUCACUUUUGAGGAGAUAGUUGAAGUUCGAGAAAUGGUUGCAAACUUCAUUACCAGUGAUUGUCUUUGAUAUUUUUUUGUACUGAAUCUUAAAUUAUGGAUGCUAGCUAUUUUUUCAUAUGAUUGUAAUGUAAUCGACUUUUAUAUUUACAAUUAUAUACUAUUUAAUUUAAUUAUCUAUAUAAUUGGAUACUUUUUAUA